rnacentral:rRNA from 1 species
UACAGAGGGUGCGAGCGUUAAUCGGAAUUACUGGGCGUAAAGCGCGCGUAGGCGGCUUUGCAAGUCGGGUGUGAAAUCCCCAGGCUUAACCUGGGAACUGCAUUCGAGACUGCAUUGCUAGAGUAUGGGAGAGGGAAGUGGAAUUUCCGGUGUAGCGGUGAAAUGCGUAGAUAUCGGAAGGAACAUCAGUGGCGAAGGCGAGUCUCUGGACGACACCUGACACUGAGGCACGAAAGCUAGGGGAGCAAACAGG